GUUAAUGGGAAUUCAUCCGUAGUGCAGCCGAGUGUGUUUUAUUUUGGAAGCUAAGCAGGGAGAGGCCUGGUUAGGAGCUGGAUGGGAGACCACCCGAGCAUACCUGGUGGAAUUUAUU
rnacentral:rRNA from 1 species